rnacentral:rRNA from 1 species
UGGGGAAUUUUGGACAAUGGGGGAAACCCUGAUCCAGCCAUCCCGCGUGUGCGAUGAAGGCCUUCGGGUUGUAAAGCACUUUUGGCCGGAAAGAAACGUCAUGGGUUAAUACCCCGUGAAACUGACGGUACCUGCAGAAUAAGCACCGGCUAACUACGUGCCAGCAGCCGCGGUAAGACGUAGGGUGCAAGCGUUAAUCGGAAUUACUGGGCGUAAAGCGUGCGCGGGCGGUUCGGAAAGAAAGAUGUGAAAUCCCAGAGCUCAACUUUGGGAGUGCAUGUUUAACGACCGGGCGAGAGUGUGUCAGAGGGAGGUGGAAUUCCGUGUGUAGCAGAGAAAUGGGUAGAUGUGCGGAAGAACACCGAUGGAGAAGGGAGCCUCCUGGGAUAACACUGGCGCUCAUGCACGAAAGCGUGGGGAGCAAACAGG